rnacentral:rRNA from 1 species
UCUGGUCUUGGGACACUGUCAGGUGGGCAGUUUGACUGGGGCGGUCGCCUCCCAAAAGGUAACGGAGGCGCUCAAAGGUUCUCUCAGUACGGUCGGAAAUCGUACGUAGAGUGUAAAGGCAAAAGAGGGCUUGAUUGCAAGACAUACAGGUCGAGCAAGGAUGAAAAUCGGACUUAGUGAUCCGGUGGUUCUGCGUGGAAGGGCCAUCGCUCAACGGAUAAAAGCUACCCUGGGGAUAACAGGCUUA